GAUUAUAUAGUGAAUUUCACGUUAUUAUUUCAUGAUAAAAAUGUUUUUAGUCU
rnacentral:tRNA from 1 species